CUCAGUAGAGAAAGAUCAAGGAUGUACCCUUGUUUUCUCCUUAUAGAGAUUAUCUGGACAGAAUCUUGGACCCCAAAUGUAAGGGAGGCCAUGUUCCAGGUGCUCUGUAUAAUUGGUCUGGUUACCCCAUGCCUUCAUCAAGCACUCAACCUCCAAUGGUGAUGCCAUCUCCGGUAUACCAGUCUUGGGAUUAUGACAUGUCUGCAUCUUCUGGACAGCUACAUGGGAACUCAUCACUGAUGAUGUCUGAUCAGGAUUCACUGGUUCCCAGAUGAGACGCCUGGAAUGCCACCUAUCCAUUGCCAGUUCCACAUGUUCUUCCUGCCUGUCUCCCUGGAGACACCAACCUUCAACUGGUUCAGUCACCUCCUGUUGACAGCUCAAGUCCUCAGUGA
rnacentral:lncRNA from 1 species